rnacentral:rRNA from 1 species
UAAGACGGAGGGUGCUAGCGUUGUUCGGAUUUACUGGGCGUAAAGGGCGCGUAGGCGGCCUUCUCAGUCGGGUGUGAAAGCCCGGGGCUCAACCCCGGAACGGCACCCGAGACGGGUUGGCUGGAGACCGGGAGAGGAGGGUGGAAUAGCCAGUGUAGAGGUGAAAUUCGUAGAUAUUGGCUGGAACACCGGUGGCGAAAGCGGCUCUCUGGCCCGGUUCUGACGCUGAGGCGCGAAAGCGUGGGGAGCAAACAGGAUUAGAUACCCUGGUAGUCCACGCCCUAAACGAUGUGUGCUGGGCGUCGGGGGGCUUGCCCCUCGGUGCCGGAGCUAACGCGGUAAGCACACCGCCUGGGGAGUACGGCCGCAAGGUUA